UACGGGGGGGGCAAGCGUUGUUCGGAAUUACUGGGCGUAAAGCGUGCGCAGGCGGCUUUGCAAGACAGAUGUGAAAUCCCCGGGCUCAACCUGGGAUCUGCAUUUGUGACUGCAUGGCUGGAGUGCGGCAGAGGGGGAUGGAAUUCCGCGUGUAGCAGUGAAAUGCGUAGAUAUGCGGAGGAACACCGAUGGCGAAGGCAAUCCCCUGGGCCUGCACUGACGCUCAUGCACGAAAGCGUGGGGAGCAAACAGG
rnacentral:rRNA from 1 species